UAGCACCACCAGCAGUUCACCAGCGCAGCAGCAACCAGAAAGAGAAAGAGGCAGGCGGCACAGCCAAACCAACCAACUAACCAACGGACGGAAGAGACCGCCGCGAAGCCUCGCCUCGACUCACCUCGCCAAUCCGGCCCCCCUUCCCUCCCCUUUUCCUCCCCUGCCCUCCCUCGGGAUCCGCCUGCGCGAUCCCGCCGCCGAGAUCGGAGCUCCGGCCGGCGCAUGGACCCCCGCCGUCGCGCCGAGUAGCGGGAGGUAGAGGUGGCAGAGACGCCAGCGCCGCGGGGCGAGGCGGGCAUGGACACGAACGCCGGCUCCUUCGUCGCCGUCCGGCGGCUCGCUGGCUCCGACCGCGCGGCCGGCGCCGUCGCGUUCCAUCACUCGUCCUCAGGUUGGUUCGGCCGUCUCCUCUUGGCAGUUGAUGCUCUUCGUAAUGGGAUGCUUACGUUACGCUUCGUGUGCUCGCGUGCGCCGGUGCAGCGGAGGUCGUGACCGGGUCGACGGCGUGGAUAGGGAGGGGGCUCUCCUGCGUCUGCGUGCAGAGCAGGGACAGCGACGCCCGCCUCUCUUUCGAUUUGACCCCCGUUCAGGAAGAGUGCCUACUGAGGUUACAGAACCGGAUAGAAAUUCAGUAUGACAGUUCAAACAUAGAGCAUCAGGACGAGCUGAAGGCCCUUUGGUGUGCCUCCUUUCCUGGAACUGAGCUUCGGGGGUUAGUAUCGGAACAAUGGAAAGAGAUGGGCUGGCAAGGGAAAGACCCGUCCACGGAUUUUAGAGGUGGAGGCUUCAUCUCCUUGGAGAAUUUAUUGUUCUUCGCCAGGAACUAUCCGAAAUCUUUUCAGGAACUUCUUCGUAAGCAGAAUGGUGACCGUGCAAUUUGGGAGUAUCCAUUUGCUGUAGCUGGUGUAAAUAUAACAUUCAUGCUCAUCCAGAUGCUUGAUCUACAAGCAGUCAAACCAAGGUCAUUGUUUGGAGCUGUUUUCCUAAAGCUACUUUCAGAAAACGAUCGAGCUUUUGAUAUCCUGUACUGCAUAACCUUCAAGCUGAUGGAUCAGCAAUGGCUUGACAUGCAUGCUACUUACAUGGACUUCAAUACGGUCAUGAAAUCGACACGACGCCAGCUAGAAAGGGAGCUGCUGCUUGAAGAUAUUCAGCGGGUCGAGGAUAUGCCAUCGUACAAGCUUCUAGCCCGCUAGCCAGUAACUGAAACCUUAACAUGGCUUACACGUAGCGAGGCUUGAAUUGCUAAACGAUGCAACCAGUGUCCUUAUACAGCGAGGGAGUGCCAAAAUGUAGAUGCCCUUGUAUCCUGGUGUUUUAGGUGCUCUGAUAACCCGACCUUUUCUUAUUUACAUAGUAGGGUUUUCUUGAUCAGCAUGCCACGUAGGGUAACUCCAGUAUCCGAACGCAGAGUAUUUGUAGGGUGUGUGCGUGCGCGUGUUGUUGAAGUUUGGUUAUUGCUCAUAAUACCACGGAAUGUAGUCUCUGUCUCUGUGUCCUUGUAAGCAGGAGCCUCUUGUGAAAGCUAAUCUGAGUUUUGGCGGUUUGCAACA